rnacentral:misc_RNA from 1 species
GAUGAGAACGUAGCGAAAUGCGAUAAGUAAUGUGAAUUGCAGAAUUCAGUGAAUCAUCGAAUCUUUGAACGCACAUUGCGCCCUCUGGUAUUCCGGGGGGCAUGCCUGUUCGAGCGUCAUUAUAACCACUCAAGCUCUCGCUUGGUAUUGGGGCUCGCGGUUCCGCGGCCCCUAAAAUCAGUGGCGGUGCCUGUCGGCUCUACGCGUAGUAAUACUCCUCGCGAUUGAGUCCGGUAGGUCUACUUGCCAGCAACCCCCAAUUUUUACAGGUUGACCUCGGAUCAGGUAGGGAUACCCGCUGAACUUAAGCAUAUCAAUAAGCGGAGGA